UACGUAGGGUGCAAGCGUUAUCCGGAAUUAUUGGGCGUAAAGAGCUCGUAGGCGGUUUGUCGCGUCUGCUGUGAAAACUGGAGGCUCAACCUCCAGCCUGCAGUGGGUACGGGCAAACUAGAGUGCGGUAGGGGAGAUUGGAAUUCCUGGUGUAGCGGUGGAAUGCGCAGAUAUCAGGAGGAACACCGGUGGCGAAGGCGGCCUACUGGGCUGUCACUGACGCUGGAGGCGCGAAAGCUCGGGGAGCGAACGGG
rnacentral:rRNA from 1 species